GUCAACGGUCAUACCACGUUGAAAAUACCAGUUCUCGUCCGAUCACUGUAGUCAAGCAACGUUGGGCACGGUUAGUACUUGGAUGGGUGACCGCUUAGGAAUACCGUGUACUGUUGACA
rnacentral:rRNA from 1 species